GGCGACCUAAUUUCCAAAGGGAAAUUUUGGCCAAAUCCACUUGGGGAAGGAUGCGUUUGACGAGAACCCAAGGGGACAAAUCCUGCCUGGAACCCGUGAGGGUGAAGGGAUGUUAAGAGCUGCUCACGACGCCAGUGGAAAGCCCGAGGUGGCAAGAGGCCAGGCGAGGGAUAGCCCUGGGCCGUGAGCGGUAACAGUGCCGGGGAUCACGUCCGGGCUGUUACA
rnacentral:lncRNA from 1 species